CACUGAAGACCUGCCAAAUGAGGUUGGCAACCAGCAAGGAGUGCCAGGAGUGGGAAACGGCCUGCAGUACUGCACACAGCAGCAGGAGACACUCAAGAGAGUGUAAAUUUGGGACCACAUGAGACCUGGAAAGCACCUAUGCUUCACCCUUCAGUUUCAUCAGCGUCAAAUUGCAACAUACAACCCCCCCACAAUUUUGCUUAGUGAAAAAGAGAAGUGCUUGCAGAUGAAACCGAGACCUUUUCAAUGUUGAGUACAGAUGACCGAGAACCCCCACACUCCAGUAAAGGCAAUAGUCCAAAUGGCUUUCUACUGGGAGGCAGAGUCUGCUGCAAAACACUCAAACUUAGAUGCCUGCAAAGCC